UACGAAGGGGGCGAGCGUUGUUCGGAUUUACUGGGCGUAAAGGGCGCGCAGGCGGCGAUCUUUGUCAGGCGUGAAAGCCCCGGGCUUAACCUGGGAACUGCGCUUGGGACGGGAUUGCUGGAGACCGGGAGAGGAGAGUGGAAUUCCCAGUGUAGAGGUGAAAUUCGUAGAUAUUCGGAAGAACACCAGUGGCGAAGGCGGCUCACUGGACCGGUAUUGACGCUGAGGUGCGAAAGCGUGGGGAGCAAACAGG
rnacentral:rRNA from 1 species